rnacentral:snoRNA from 1 species
UUCCAAAACGUAGUCAGCAUUUAUGUGUACAACAUUUGCUACAUUUCAAAAGGAGCUCUCCAGGCUACCAACCUCACAGUUGAGGUUGAGUAGCAGUGUUUUUCUCCUACAAAA